GAUGAACGCUGGCGGCGUGCCUAAUACAUGCAAGUCGAGCGAACGGACGAGAAGCUUGCUUCUCUGAUGUUAGCGGCGGACGGGUGAGUAACACGUGGAUAACCUACCUAUAAGACUGGGAUAACUUCGGGAAACCGGAGCUAAUACCGGAUAAUAUUUUGAACCGCAUGGUUCAAAAGUGAAAGACGGUCUUGCUGUCACUUAUAGAUGGAUCCGCGCUGCAUUAGCUAGUUGGUAAGGUAACGGCUUACCAAGGCAACGAGGCAUAGCCGACGUGAGAGGCGGAUCGCCCACACUGGAACUGAGCCACGGUCCAUGCUCCUACGGGAGGCAGCAGUAGGGAAUCUUCCGCAAUGGGCGAAAGCAUGACGCAGCAACGCCGCGUGAGUGAUGAAGGUCUUCCGAUCGUAAAACUCUGUUAUUAGUGAAGAACAUAUGUGUAAGUAACUGUGCACAUAUUGACGGUACCUAAUCAGAAAGCCACGGCUAACUACGUG
rnacentral:rRNA from 1 species